CAACAGGGAUUGCCCUAGUAACGGCGAGUGAAGCGGCAACAGCUCAAAUUUGAAAUCUGGCUCUUUUAGAGUCCGAGUUGUAAUUUGCAGAGGGCGCUUUGGCUUUGGCAGCGGUCCAAGUUCCUUGGAACAGGACGUCACAGAGGGUGAGAAUCCCGUACGUGGUCGCUGGCUAUUGCCGUGUAAAGCCCCUUCGACGAGUCGAGUUGUUUGGGAAUGCAGCUCUAAAUGGGAGGUACAUUUCUUCUAAAGCUAAAUAUUGGCCAGAGACCGAUAGCGCACAAGUAGAGUGAUCGAAAGAUGAAAAGCACUUUGGAAAGAGAGUCAAACAGCACGUGAAAUUGUUGAAAGGGAAGCGCUUGCAGCCAGACUUGCUUACAGUUGCUCAUCCGGGUUUCUACCCGGUGCACUCUUCUGUAGGCAGGCCAGCAUCAGUUUGGGCGGUAGGAUAAAGGUCUCUGUCACGUACCUCCUUUCGGGGAGGCCUUAUAGGGGAGACGACAUACUACCAGCCUGGACUGAGGUCCGCGCAUCUGCUAGGAUGCUGGCGUAAUGGCUGUAAGCGGCCCGUCUUGAAACACGGACCAAGGAGUCUAACAUCUAUGCGAGUGUCUGGGUGUCAAGCCCGAGCGCGUAAUGAAAGUGAACGGAGGUGGGAACCCGCAAGGGUGCACCAUCGACCGAUCCUGAUGUCUUCGGAAGGAUUUGAGUAAGAGCAUGGCUGUUGGGACCCGAAAAGAUGGUGAACUAUGCUUGAAUAGGG
rnacentral:rRNA from 1 species